rnacentral:rRNA from 1 species
GUGUUCGGGUUGUCAUGCCAAUGGCAUUGCCCGGUAGCUAAAUGCGGAAGAGAUAAGUGCUGAAAGCAUCUAAGCACGAAACUUGCCCCGAGAUGAGUUCUCCCUGAGACUAUAAGUCUCCUGAAGGAACGUUGAAGACGACGACGUUGAUAGGUCGGGUGUGUAAGUGUAGCGAUACAUUGAGCUAACCGAUACUAAUGAACCGUGAGGCUUAACCUUACAACGCCGAAG